rfam:Schizosaccharomyces cryophilus OY26 unplaced genomic scaffold supercont4.8, whole genome shotgun sequence.
GGUUGUAUGGUGUAGUGGUCAGCACGUGGGAUUCUGAUUCCCGAGACCCGGGUUCGAUUCCCGGUACGACCU